GCCACUGAAAGUAUCAGCAGCAGUUUUAUGCAAGCGAAAACAAUUUUUUUUAAAAAAAUUAUUUUAUUGGUUUUGUUUCCGGUUUUGGUUGGUUUGAGCAUUUUACUCUUUGCAGUGUCUGUUUUGUUUUGUUUUGCCGGUGAUGGUAAACCUUAACCUUACAGGCUAGAAAGGGGCAGAAGUGGUUCCGUGAAAUACACGAGGCUGGUUUGCACCGGCACAGACUUACUCAGGAGCUCCCACCGCUCUGCCAGAGCAGAGGCCAGGCUGAGCACAUGGAUCUGUGGCUCUUUUGGCUUCUCCAAAGGACAAGAUAGAAGCAAUUAAGUGCUUCACAUUUGCUAAGAUGUCUUGGGAGAAGGGACUUAAUGCAGUGGCUUUUGCUGUGCCUGUGACAGAAGGAAUUUGUGUGACGUGGAGGAUGGCAGGGCCUUCAACAACCUUCUCCAUAAAUGUGCAUUUUGCAAGUUUAUGAUUGGCAGUUUUGGAAGAGAAGAGCUAUUCCUGUAGAAUGGAUUAAACAAAUGGGUUGAAUCGCGGUGUGUGAAUGUUUUUGAGAUAGUCUUGCUUUUGUUCAACAUAAAUCUUGCGUAUUUAAUCCUUAUACUCUUUGUGUCCA